GAUAGUUUUUUGACCCUGGUGGUAUAGUGUGACCCUUCCUCUGUACCAUGACCCUAAGAAACAGAUACUUGACAAAGCUUUCCUAGGAGUUGUGGGCAUUUCCAGGGAUAGUUUUUUUACCCUGGUGGUAUAGCGUGACCCUUCCUCUGUACCAUGACCCUAAGAAACACAUAUUUGACAAAGCUUUCCUAGGAGUUGUGGGCAUUUCCAGGGAAAGUUUUUUGACCCUGGUGGUAGUUUGACCCUUCCUCUGUACCAUGAAGCUAAGAAACACACAUUUGACAAGGCUUUCCUAGGAGUUUGGGGCAUUUCCAGGGAAAGUUUUUUGACCCUGGUGGUAGUUUGACCCUUCCUCUGUACCGUGAACCUAAAAUACCACUUAUUAGAAUCUGACUGACCUCACUUUUAAAUCAGAUGAUGUGAUAGGUGACCUUACAUUAUUAAGCUUUCUAUCUCUUCUUCCCAUUUUCUCCCUCUUCUUCUCCUCCUCCUCUUCCUCCUUUCCUUCUUCUCCUCUUCUUCCUCCUUUUCCCUCUCCUCCCCUCCUCUGUUUCCUUCUUUUUUCCUUUCCUUCCCUUUCCUUUCCCCAGUCUUCCUCCCUCCUCUUCCUCCUCCCUCCUCCACCUCCUUUCCCCCUCUUCCUUUCUUCUUUCUCCUCCCCUCCAUUUCCUUUUUUUUCUUUUCCUCCACUUCCAUUUCCCUUCCUUAGUCUUCCUUCUUUCUCCUCCUCCCUUUCUUUUUUUUUCUCUUCCUCCGUUUCACUUUCCCUUCUCGUCAUCCCCUCUUCUUUUUUCCUUCCCUUCUCCUCUCUUUCUUCCUUCCCCUCUUUUUCUAUUCUUCCCUUUCCCUUCCUAUGUUAUCCUUUCCUUUUUUUCCUUCCCUUCCCUUCUCCUCUUUCUUCCUUCCCUUCUUUCUCUCUCCUUUCCUUUCCCUUCCUAUAUAUUCCCCUUUCCUUUUUUCUUCCCUUCUCCUCUCUUCCUUCCCUUCCCUUCUCCUCUCUGUCUUCCUUCCCUUUCCUUCCUUCCCUCCCUUCCCUUCUCUUCUUUUCCUCUACCACCACCAUCACCACCACCACCACCAAUGAAGGAUAUAUUGAAGAAAACAAAGAUAUUCCAACAUAUGUUUAUUACUAUACGAUACACACACACACACACACACACACACACCUAAUUAUUUUGCUAGUUAUACAUAUCUUUUAACUCACAGCAAUGCCCUCAAAACCUAACCUCUCUCUCCCUGUUAGAUAUUAUUAUUAUUAUUAUUAUUAUUAUUAUUAUUGAUGUUUGUUUGUUCAUAUGUCAGUUCUUUUUUUAUUUUGCCGUAAUUCUUUCCACAUUUUUCUCGUUCACUCUUUUUUUGCAUCUUUUAUUCUAUUUUUUGCUUACAUUCACUUUUUUGGGAUAUUUGAAGUUUUUUUUCCAUACUCUCUCUCUCUCUCUCUCUCUCUCUCUCUCUCUCAUUGUAUGACCUAUUGAUAUGUAUUUGAUUACUAUGUCCUUUUUGGGGGUCUCUCUCUCUCUCUCUCUCUCUCUCUCUCUCUCUCUCUCUCUCUCUCUCUCUCUCUCUCUCUCAUUAAUGUCUUCUAUAUAAUCUCAGGAGUGAAGCGGAAAAAGGGGAAGAGAUCAGUUAUUAUUAUUAUCAUUAUUAUUAUUAUUAUCAUCAUUAUUAUUAUUAUUAUUUAUUUCGUCAUAAACUUUGGACGUUUUUCACUUUUUUUAAGAUUUCUAAACAAGACGGCUUAUGGAGGGUUCUUAUUUCUCUCUCUCUCUCUCUCUCUCUCUCUCUCUCUCUCUCUCUCUCUUAACUCAUACAUCAGCGAACGCAAGACAUGGAUGAAAAAAAAUAUAUAUAAUCGCACAGCAACUCAUUAACGUCAAAGGUAAAAUAACAUAAUACAGACUCAUUAGUACUAUUGUUAUUAUUCCAUCAUUAUCAGAAUCAUCAUCAUCACCAUUAUCUUCAUAUUUAUCAGACGCUAUAUUUCUCAUACUCGUCCUCUUUCUCAUCGUAGGUAUCACUCACUGCUUUUCCUCACCUUCUCUUACUCUCUUUCCCUUCUUCAUUCAUUGAUAUACAACACUAGCACACAGACAUACAGCUAAAAUGCAUUAAUUCUUUAGGUAAAUCCACUUGUUUUUGUUCACACCAGCCCAGUUAGUCAGUUACGGCAUGUAGAUUUUAGAAUAGUUUGCCCUACAAGGUGUCGUUUUCUCUUAAUCUGAGCAGCGUCAAGGUAGAUGGCGCCACUUGCAUUGGUACCCAGCUAAAAUGCAUUAAUUCUCUUGGUAAAUCCACUAGUUUUGUACACACCAUCCUAGCCCAAUCAGUUAGGGUGCAUAAAUAUUCAAAUAGUCAGCCCUACAAGGCAUCGUUUUCUCUUAAUCUGAGCAGCGUCAAGGUAGAUGGCGCCACUUGCAUUGGUACCCAGAGCCAUAGGAUAGAGUUUGUUGUUAUGUAGGUUGGGAGCGGUGAGCAGCGGACUUUUUUUUCUACACUUUUCGUUGCCCUUGAGCCGUCUCCUUUGUUGUAAAAAAAAAAAUAAUAAAAUAUUGGUCGUAAUUCUCCUUUGGCAAACUGUGAUUCUGUCCCGUCACUCUUAAUUCUCCCUACUACAUUAUCCGCCGCAUUUGUCUUCUAUAUAUAAAAGUACACUUGUCUUCUGUAUACAAAGAAAACAUUGGGGUACUUGAAUGUGUUUAAAAGUAUGAAAGUCUGCGCUGAAAGUCUAAAGUACAGUUGUCUUCCAUAUAUAAAAGUCUUCUAGAUAUAAAAGAACACUUGUCUUCUGUAUAUAAAGAAAACAUUGGGGUAUUUGAAUGUGUUUAAAAGUAUGAAAGUCUGCGAUGAAAGUCUAAAGUACAGUUGUCUUCCAUAUAUAAAAGUCUUCUAUAUAUAAAAUGAAAGUCUAAAGUACAGUUGUCUUCCAUAUAUAAAAGUCUUCUAGAUAUAAAAUGAAAGUCUAAAGUACAGUUGUCUUCCAUAUAUAAAAGUCUUCUAGAUAUAAAAGAACACUUGUCUUCUGUAUAUAAAGAAAACAUUGGGGUAUUUGAAUGUGUUUAAAAGUUUGAUAGUUUGAGAGAAAUCAUCUUUUCUUCUCUACCUAAAAAAGUACAUUUGUCUUCCAUAUAUAAAAGUCUUCUGUAUAUAUAAAAGGACAUUUGUCUUCUGUAUGUAAAGAAAACAUUGGGGUAUUUGAAUGUGUCUAAAAGUUUGAAAGUCUGCGAUGAAAGUCUAAAAUACAUUUGUCUUCUAUAUAUAAAAGUACAUUUGUCUUCUAUUAUAAAGAAAACAUUGGGGUAUUUGAAUGUCUUUAAAAGUAUAAAAGUAGGAGAUGAAAGAGUCAGUCUUUUCUCUCGAUAUAUAUAAAAAAAAAAGUUUACAUUUGUCUUCCCUAAAAAAUGAAACAAAAGAAAACAUGGUCAUUUUUUUCAUCUUUUUUUAUUUCGUGAUUUUUUUCCCGUUUUCUCUCAGAUAUUUUUUUCAUCUAUUUGUCUUUAUUUUCCUGACUGGAUUAUCUUUCUAUUAUAUCUAUGACAGUUUGUUUGUGCGUGCGUUUGUUGGCAUUUGGUUAUCCCUUCUUACGUGUGUGUGUGCGUGUGUGUGUGUGUGUGUGUGUGUGUGUGUGUGUGUGAGGGAUAGAGAGCUAAUCAUCUACCAAAAACUAAGUAAAAUGAGCAAUAAAAUAUAUAUCACACAGAAUCUUCCCUCAGCAUGUGUGUGUGUGUGUGUGUGUGUGUGUGUGUGUGUGUGUGUGUGUG